rnacentral:tRNA from 1 species
GAAAGUCGGAGGUUAAAGUCCCCCCUACUGC